GGAGAUAUAGCUCAGUUGGUAGAGUGCUUCGUUUGCAUGCCCUGGGUUCAAUCCCCAGUACCAUCA
rnacentral:tRNA from 1 species